rnacentral:lncRNA from 1 species
AACCUACAAAUUAACCACUAUUAUGAAUCCUUGUUAAAUCAAUUUUUCGAUGGAUUCUUCCUUCGCACUUCAAUUGGCCUCCAGAUUUGUCUUCCCCGCCCCAAAUUUCUGAAGAAUCUCUUUUGGAUGUUGGUUUUCAAUUGCAUAAAUAGGUGAUUCAGGUGGAAUCGUCUACCUCUGAUGAGCGGCAAACAAAAGCGUAGGUCGAGCUUAACCCAAAUAUAGAGCGAAGGUGUUCUAAUGUUCUGCCCACAGUUUUCUCGGCUAAAGGUGCGGUUGUGUUAGGUACGUAUGUGAGGAGGGAAUGUUCCCUAAAAGAACGAGAACUUUUAUGCGGGCGGCUCAUUGAUCGGCUUAUACGACCAUUUUUCCCUGCUAGAUUUUAUCAUGAGGGUCAG